UUGAACGCUGGCGGUAUGCUUAACACAUGCAAGUCGAACGGAAACGAUACUAGCUUGCUAGUAGGCGUCGAGUGGCGGACGGGUGAGUAACGCGUAGGAAUCUGCCUGAUAGUGGGGGAUAGCCCGAAGAAAUUCGGAUUAAUACCGCAUAAUCUAUUCGUAGUAAAGUGGGGGACUUUCGAGCCUCACGCUAUCAGAUGAGCCUGCGUAAGAUUAGCUUGUUGGUAGGGUAAAAGCCUACCAAGGCGACGAUCUUUAGCUGGUCUGAGAGGAUGAUCAGCCACAUCGGGACUGAGACACGGCCCGAACUCCUACGGGAGGCAGCAGUGGGGAAUAUUGGACAAUGGGGGCAACCCUGAUCCAGCAAUACCGCGUGUGUGAAGAAGGCCUGAGGGUUGUAAAGCACUUUCAAUUGUGAAGAAAAGUUAGCGGUUAAUAACCGUUAGCCUUGACGUUAACUUUAGAAGAAGCACCGGCUAACUCCGUGCCAGCAGCCGCGGUAAUACGGAGGGUGCAAGCGUUAAUCGGAAUUACUGGGCGUAAAGCGUGCGUAGGCGGUUUAUUAAGUCAGAUGUGAAAGCCCCGGGCUUAACCUGGGAACUGCAUUUGAAACUGGUCAACUAGAGUAUGGUAGAGGAAAGUGGAAUUUCUGGUGUAGCGGUGAAAUGCGUAGAUAUCAGAAGGAACAUCAAUGGCGAAAGGCAGCUUUCUGGACCAAUACUGACGCUGAGGUACGAAAGCGUGGGUAGCAAACAGGAUUAGAUACCCUGGUAGUCCACGCCGUAAACGAUGAUAACUAGCCGUUGGGGGGAUUUACCCUUUAGUGGCGAAGCUAACGCGUUAAGUUAUCCGCCUGGGGAGUACGGCCGCAAGGUUAAAACUCAAAGGAAUUGACGGGGACCCGCACAAGCGGUGGAGCAUGUGGUUUAAUUCGAUGCAACGCGAAGAACCUUACCUGGUCUUGACAUCCUGCGAACUUUCUAGAAAUAGAUUGGUGCCUUCGGGAACGCAGUGACAGGUGCUGCAUGGCUGUCGUCAGCUCGUGUCGUGAGAUGUUGGGUUAAGUCCCGUAACGAGCGCAACCCCUAUCCUUAUUUGCCAGCACAUCAUGGUGGGAACUAUAAGGAGACUGCCGGUGAUAAACCGGAGGAAGGCGGGGACGACGUCAAGUCAUCAUGGCCCUUACGACCAGGGCUACACACGUGCUACAAUGGGAAGGACAAAGAGCCGCGAAGCCGCGAGGUGUAGCUAAUCUCAUAAACCUUUUCGUAGUCCGGAUUGGAGUCUGCAACUCGACUCCAUGAAGUCGGAAUCGCUAGUAAUCGUAGAUCAGAAUGCUACGGUGAAUACGUUCCCGGGUCUUGUACUCACCGCCCG
rnacentral:rRNA from 1 species